rnacentral:rRNA from 1 species
GAUGAACGCUGGCGGCGUGCCUAAUACAUGCAAGUCGAGCGAACAGACGAGGAGCUUGCUCCUCUGACGUUAGCGGCGGACGGGUGAGUAACACGUGGAUAACCUACCUAUAAGACUGGGAUAACUUCGGGAAACCGGAGCUAAUACCGGAUAAUAUAUUGAACCGCAUGGUUCAAUAGUGAAAGACGGUUUUGCUGUCACUUAUAGAUGGAUCCGCGCCGCAUUAGCUAGUUGGUAAGGUAACGGCUUACCAAGGCGACGAUGCGUAGCCGACCUGAGAGGGUGAUCGGCCACACUGGAACUGAGACACGGUCCAGACUCCUACGGGAGGCAGCAGUAGGGAAUCUUCAGCAAUGGGCGAAAGCCUGACGGAGCAACGCCGCGUGAGUGAUGAAGGUCUUCGGAUCGUAAAACUCUGUUAUUAGGGAAGAACAAAUGUGUAAGUAACUAUGCACGUCUUGACGGUACCUAAUCAGAAAGCAACGGCUAACUACGUG